UACGUAGGGGGCUAGCGUUGUCCGGAAUCAUUGGGCGUAAAGCGCGCGUAGGCGGCCCGGUAAGUCCGCUGUAAAAGUCCAGGGCUCAACCCUGGAACGCCGGUGGAUACUGUCGGGCUAGAGUGCAGAAGGGGCAACUGGAAUUCUCGGUGUAGCGGUGAAAUGCGUAGAUAUCUGGAGGAACACCGGUGGCGAAGGCGGCAUCCUGGACCACGACUGACGCUGAUGAGCGAAAGCCAGGGGAGCAAACGGG
rnacentral:rRNA from 1 species